AAUGUAGUGGCAGUAAACUAUGAAAUUUCUUAAUUAUCAUUAUAUAAAGCAUUACAAAAUUGAUUUUUAAGUUGAUCGUGAAGAGGAAUAUAAUUUAAGAGAGAGUUACAUAUUUAGACACAUUUGUCUUUUUUCUUACUCAAUUAAACAUUUUAUGUAUGUAAGACACAAUUGCUGAUUUUGAUGCAAUAUUGAGACCAUAAUACCCUUCUGCUAAAGAAACAAGAUUGAUUGCGGUAAUGAAAGCAUAAAGGGAGCUUAUUAGAUGUUUUAUUAGUUUAGUUGACAUUAAUUGGUUUUGUAUUUCCCCAACAUAUUUUAUUGGUCAUUAUUACAAAUUAUAAUGUAUAAAAUUUUAUAUUUAUGCGUAAAACAAAUUAUGAUUUUUUCUCUUGUACAUUUUGAUAUCCAUAAUGUAUAUAUUUCUUGUAAAAUUUAUAAUAUAUAUAUAUGGAUGGUGCAGUCGUGGAUGGGAGAUAUGUGAACUUGUGGACGAGAUUUCGUGGACGAAUUCUCGUGGACAAGGUUUUCAAUCUUACAAGAGGUUUCGUAGACGGGAUUUCGUGGACAAAGUCUUGUAGAUGGUUUUAGUGGGUUAAGUUCAUCAUUUUCAUAAAAAGAUGAUCAAGCUUUUCUUUCAUAUAUAGUAAAUUAUCAUCAAAAGAACAAUAACUAAUUUCAAAUGGACCAAAAAAUUGUAACUAAAGUUCUUUUAACAAAGUUCCAUGGAUGAGAUUGUACGAACGAAGUUUGUGAAUGAAGUUUUAUCAACCUCUGUAUACACUACCACCUAUGUAUCCAUUAACACCAUAACCUCCACUCAUGUAUCCACAACCACCUCCACUGUACCACCACAACCUCCACCUUUCGAAUAACCACAUCCACCACCAUUGUAUCCACGAGUCUCUUAUAUCUACCCUCACGUUUUCCAUCUUCGUAACCACCUUCUCCUCCAUAACCACCACAGCCUCCACUGGAUCUAUCUUCUUCAUCAUCAAAGAGAUUGCUGGACAUGGAAAUUGCUGGAUAUGAAAAGCAUGGGCGACAUGUGAAUUAAAUGUUGCAUUAGAGACAUCGGCUUCACUGUCUGCUUAAGAAGAAAAUAAAAAAAAAUAUUUUUUCUUAUUUUCUUGUAUAUCAAUUAAAAAUAAGCAUAAAAGAGAGAGAAAAAAGAAAUAUGUAUAUGAAAUUCUCAUAGUUCAAUUAAAAGUAAACCUUGGAUGUAUUCGUAGUAAAGAUCUGAAAUUUUCCAACCUGAGAUUUCAGAAUAGAUUUUUCUUAGCUCCCAAUCUCAGGUUUCCAAGAAUUUUAGAUUAAAAAAAAAAUAGAAAAAGAUAAAGACGCGAUAACAAAAAUUAGUGAUUUAAAAUUAUAAAGAAAAAGUCUACAAAUUUAGCGAAGAAGAAGAUUCAGAAGGAUGUGUAAGAUGAGAGAUGAAGAUGACGACAAAUUGAGGCAAGAUUAAGUUUAUGGAAUUAGAAAAUAUGAAACCAAAAGGUAAAAGUUAAAUAGAAUAAUUUUAGAUAAUAUUGAAGAUAAUUUUGACACAUGUUACAAUACUUUCUCUCUAGUUAAAGGGCAAUUCAGACAAAUGAACAUAAGAAAGUGUUAUUUUGACCCAAAGUGUCUUUAUAUGUAAUUGAUAACUCAUAAUGUGUCUUAAAAAGUAAAUUUUUCAUAAUAAUUUAAUAACAAAAAAACUUAGUUGAUAUAUAAUUUAAUACCAGUAUUAUAAUAGUUUAUAGUAUUUUAAUUAAGUUCAUUUAUGUCAUUUGAAGAUGAAUUUAGAGAUUUUAGUGCAUAUAUGUCUUCAUUUGCACAAUCUAAAAGUCUGAGAAAAUAUUGAAGAAAAAUCUGCACAUUUUUAAACUUAGUGACCAAAUUAUAAAAGAAAAAUAUUUAAGGACUACAGAUGCAAUAUUAAAAACUUGGCCAUUGUUGAUGAGCUUCAAUUUAGAGCAUAACAAAAGAGAACGAUAUACUGAACUUAGAUGUGGUUCGCCGACGAUCACGGAAGAGAAGCAUAAAUCGGUGAGACUGCCAAGAUCGUGGCGGGUCUAAAAUGAAAUCAAGUCGAUGUAAUUGAGGGUUUGACGGACGCGGAUGAGCUGCGGUGUAGACGAAGUCGACAGAGACGCCGUAGGGGAUGAAGGCACGAUGGCGAGGAUGACCACGAAUGGAGUGACGAGGCAUCUGAGCGCAAGGAGAAUGCCGUAACACUUUAAAGUUUGAUGGAAUGUGAAAUCACGGAGGAGUUGUCGUGCUUUCGCGGUGAAUAAGGAAGACACAGACAUCGCGACAAUAGUGAUGUUGUGGUGGACGAGAGACUCGCAAACGACGACCAACCAUGGAUUUAUGUUGCUUCAAGUUUGAGAUUCACAAUAUAUUUGAGUUUACCGUGUUUUCUGCAACUAUGGCGAGGUGAAUAAUAAUAAUUUACUAUUUAGUUAGAUUUUAGUUAGAUUUCAAUUGUUAGGUGAGUUGGGAGAUGUGAAAGGUGUAUUGAGAGAAGUAAAAACGUGUGAGGAGCAUAAACUGAUUUAUAAUCAAACAAGUAAUAAAAGAGGAAUAUGAGUUUCAGGGAGGACGUUUACGUCAAUCGUUCAAUAGGGAGGUUACGUUUUUGUCACGUCACACACGGAUCAAAGUAUUAUUGGGCUUUUCUUUUUUUUUACGAGCCCAAAUGUUAAUCUGAAUGGCCCUUUGCUCUCCCUCUUCUUCAUUUCCGGUUGACGAUGUGAAAAUAUAUAACUCUUCGGCUCUUAAGCACUCCGACCACCGCAUGUGUAACGUCAUCCGCUUUCCCCUUACAUCUCCUUUAAUCUUAACCUUUACGUCGAACCCACUACUAUUCCGUUUUCAAUCUUUUAGGAACAUAAUCUUUUCUAAUUUUCAUUUGAUCUGAACCAGAGAGGAUCAGCAGAAGGACGGAUCGGAAAGAAGUUGAACAUGAACGUGAGGCUCAAUCAUCAAGUUAACAAGUUAUUAAACUUCAGAUCAAGGUCGAUGAUAAGACAUGUCAAUUGUCGAUGAGAAGACAGGUCAAAUCGUUGGAUGCUUUCUCAGUUUAAACGGCUAUGAAAGCUCACAAAACCUGAUCUUCCACAAUCCAAUCGACAAACCAAAUCAGAAUAUCAAAAGAUCUACAUUCUUCAGAAGACACAGAGAUAGGCUUCACUAACUCACACUAUAGUCCUAAAUGUAGACCUUUAGAUUUUAGUGGGGGGGGUGGUUUAACAAAAACAGUGCUUAAUGUCAACCUAGCUUCGGAGCUGACAAGAAGGCGGAUAAUAACUAGCAGUGGCUGUCGACUAAAGGUGCAUCACUCGGUUGAUACAAUGCGAGUUGCAAGAAAAGUUUCACGUUAAAUGUGCAAAACUGAUGCCAAAAUGCAGAUGGGACCAUAUGAACUUUGUAAUGCUAUGCCCUUCAAAUGCAUCCUCUAAGUUCCCCUGUGGAGAGACUAAUCCAAAAGAAAUAAAAUGCAAGCGUAUUCCCAGUAAAGGGUAUUGUCAUUUUCAUGUGUUGAUAGGAAUUAUAAGGUGAUUCUUAUUUUUGAAAAUAGAUUGCUUACAAUCACUUUCUCUAGGCCACAACACUCUCAGCCUAAUCAAGUAUCCAAAAAGACUGACAUCAUUUAGCUCCAGAGCAAGCCUGUUCAUGGAUUACCCAAGAAAUAUGUUCUAUGUUGUUCAUGACUUGCAAAUGAAGAGAAAUAUGGUUGUUUUUACUCUUUUGUUUGCGAUUUUGAUCAAAUCACAAACUUUCCAAAGUGUCUCUAUAUCUUUUCUUGCAGGGAUCAAUGCAUGUCUGAAAAACAUAGCCUUGAACAAGCUUGCUUACAAAGGAUAUCUUCAAGAUAUAGUAGCAGGAGGAACAAUGGAGGCGAUCCAUUUCUAAUGAUGACUUGAACGGUUAUAGUGUGUAGUUUUGAGCCAAGCAAGAAGAAAACUCUGACACAAAGACGAAUUGAUGUUGAAGUCUUGGAGAGCAGGAGCAAGAACUGCAAACAGUUCAUGGGUCUUGGAUUCUAUUGCAGAUUGCCAAAUUCUAGACUUGAUAUAAUAAAUUUGUGAGAUUACAUCUUUGGGUAUUUUGUUUUAGUAAUUUCAUUUGUUUCCUUGCCGUUAAUGCUUGCAGAUCUUAGAUUUGUAGAUGAAACUGAGAGUGUUGACUCAUAUAGUUUUGCAUCAUAACUCAGCAAAAAAGUUAUAUAUAUAUAAUUUACGAUUA